rnacentral:piRNA from 1 species
AUAGAACCAAGACUACCAGC